rnacentral:lncRNA from 1 species
AUACCUUAGGACAGAGAGCACAUUACAGGGAGAGCACAUUGACAUCCUGUUUUGCAUUAUUCUCUGUGGCCAGCGAGUGCACUGAGGGAGUCUGGCUGUGCUGCCGAAGCCAUUUCCCCGGGGAGAAAGCAGUCUCUUCCGACCGCCCGAACAGAGUGGGAAUGGAAGAUGCAUUCUCCACCAGGGAUGAAUCGGAAAACUGACAGCCCCAAGAUAAGAGAAAGGAGAUCCAAAGCAUUUACAACUGCAGACGUGCUCUUCGCAUGUAGUGGUGAAUAGGGCUGAUUUGCAUUUAGAUUCCUGGGUAAGUUAAAUCGCAGCAUUUCAGGGCAUUCCAGGCAUUCAGUCCUACUUUCAGCAGCGUUAUUAAUAACCUACGACGCCUCACGAGGUCGACACACGAUUAGCUUCCCAGAGUCCCUUCUCACCUGGGGGAGAAGCUCGAGAGUCCCUGCCUUAGAGCGCAUCGUUCCUGCUCUUCCUUCAGCUGCCGUUUCAGUAUAUUUUUUGGCAACCUGAAGGUUCUGAGAGGGAGUUGGUGCUGAAGUUUCUGGAGGCUUCCAUGGUUGUCACGGAAACCUCAGGUUAGGCUUCUCCCAGU